ACCUAAUAGCUAGCCCACUUCCCCAAAUACAAAAAACAACUAUUUAUACCCCCUAAUACACUUAACCCAACAAACCAAAUCAUUUUUCCACCCAAGUAUGGGAGACAGAAAAGGACCAUUGGAGCUAUAGACAAAGUACCGCAAGGGAACGCUGAAAGAGAAAUGAAAUAACCCAGUUAAAGUAUAAAGAAGCAGAGAUUAAACCUCGUACCUU
rnacentral:rRNA from 1 species